rnacentral:rRNA from 1 species
CUACGGGCGGCUGCAGUGGGGAAUCUUAGACAAUGGGCGCAAGCCUGAUCUAGCCAUGCCGCGUGAGUGAUGAAGGCCUUAGGGUCGUAAAGCUCUUUCGCUGGGGAAGAUAAUGACGGUACCCAGUAAAGAAACCCCGGCUAACUCCGUGCCAGCAGCCGCGGUAAUACGGAGGGGGUUAGCGUUGUUCGGAAUUACUGGGCGUAAAGCGCGCGUAGGCGGACUGUUAAGUCGGGGGUGAAAUCCCGGGGCUCAACCCCGGAACGGCCUUCGAUACUGGCAGUCUGGAGUUCGAGAGAGGUGAGUGGAAUUUCGAGUGUAGAGGUGAAAUUCGUAGAUAUUCGGAGGAACACCAGUGGCGAAGGCGGCUCACUGGCUCGAUACUGACGCUGAGGUGCGAAAGUGUGGGGAGCAAACAGGAUUAGAUACCCGCGUAGUC